rnacentral:rRNA from 1 species
UACGUAGGGUGCAAGCGUUGUCCGGAAUUAUUGGGCGUAAAGAGCUCGUAGGCGGUCUGUCGCGUCGGCUGUGAAAUCCCGGAGCUCAACUCCGGGUCUGCAGUCGAUACGGGCAAACUGGAGUACUGCAGGGGAGACUGGAAUUCCUGGUGUAGCGGUGAAAUGCGUAGAUAUCGGGAGGAACACCAGUGGCGAAGGCGACUAUCUGGGCUGCAACUGACGCUGAUGCACGAAAGCUAGGGGAGCAAACAGG